rnacentral:rRNA from 1 species
AUUGAACGCUGGCGGCAGGCCUAACACAUGCAAGUCGAACGAGUGGCGGACGGGUGAGUAAUGUCGGGGAAACUGCCUGAUGGAGGGGGAUAACUACUGGAAACGGUAGCUAAUACCGCAUACCAUCGGAUGUGCCCAGAUGGGAGUCGCUAGUUGGUGGGGUAACGGCUCACCUAGGAGACGAUCUCUAGCUGGUCUGAGAGGAUGACCCGCCACACGUGAACUGAGACACGGUCCAGACUCCUACGGGAGGCAGCAGUGGGGAAUAUUGCACAAUGGGCGCAAGCCUGAUGCAGCCAUGCCGCGUGUAUGAAGAAGGCCUUCGGGUUGUAAAGUACUUUCAGCGGGGAGGCGUUACCCGCCGAAGAAGCACCGGCUAACUCCGUGCCAGCCGCCGCGGUAAUUC